CCUACGGGAGGCUGCAGUGGGGAAUAUUGCACAAUGGGGGAAACCCUGAUGCAGCGACGCCGCGUGAGUGAAGAAGUAAUUCGUUAUGUAAAGCUCUAUCAGCAGGGAAGAAAAUGACGGUACCUGAGUAAGAAGCCCCGGCUAACUACGUGCCAGCAGCCGCGGUCAUACGUAGGGGGCAAGCGUUAUCGGGAUUUCAUGGGUGUAAAGGGAGCGUAGACGGCAGUGCAAGUCUGGAGUGAAAGGCGGGGGCUUAACCCCCGGACUGCUCUGGAGACUGUACGGCUGGAGUGCAGGAGAGGUAAGUGGAAUUCCUAGUGUAGCGGUGAAAUGCGUAGAUAUUAGGAGGAACACCAGUGGCGAAGGCGGCUUACUGGACUGUAACUGACGUUGAGGCUCGAAAGCGUGGGGAGCAAACAGGAUUAGAUACCCCGGUAGUC
rnacentral:rRNA from 1 species